AUUUAUUCUACUCCUCUUCUCACUCAAAAAAAAUUUAGGAUCACGCGGAUAUUUUGGGAAUCGAUAUGAUGCCGAUGUGACGGAGUUCUGUCUUGGUGCCUCAUGUCUGACUUGAUUUCUUCCAGGGAGUUGAGCUCCAGAGGAUUCUCGAGCACAUCGUUAUCAUUCAGAUUUCUUAGUAUCUCAGAACGAAGGAUGUUCGUAAUUGCUUCAAUACUAGUAGUGGCAAGAUAAACCUGAUGUCCCCAGUACUGGUGCAGAUUGUUCGAGAGUACUGCCAUACUUUGUAUCGUUGUGAUCACGAGGGUCUGUAGUAGAUGAAGGUCCGAGAUUCUUGUUAUCUGUUGACGGAUGUGAUACA
rnacentral:lncRNA from 1 species